GACGAACGCUGGCGGCGCGCCUAACACGUGCAAGUCGAACGAGCGAGAGAGAGCUUGCUUUCUUGAGCGAGUGGCGAACGGGUGAGUAACGCGUGAGGAACCUGCCUCAAAGAGGGGGACAACAGUUGGAAACGACUGCUAAUACCGCAUAAGCCCACGGUGCCGCAUGGCACAGAGGGAAAAGGAGCAAUCCGCUUUGAGAUGGCCUCGCGUCCGAUUAGCUAGUUGGUGAGGUAACGGCCCACCAAGGCGACGAUCGGUAGCCGGACUGAGAGGUUGAACGGCCACAUUGGGACUGAGACACGGCCCAGACUCCUACGGGAGGCAGCAGUGGGGAAUAUUGCACAAUGGGGGAAACCCUGAUGCAGCGACGCCGCGUGGAGGAAGAAGGUCUUCGGAUUGUAAACUCCUGUUGUUGGGGAAGAUAAUGACGGUACCCAACAAGGAAGUGACGGCUAACUACGUG
rnacentral:rRNA from 1 species